AUGAAGAUGGGGAGAGGAGCCGGCCGCGCUCUGCUGCUCGCCCUGGCGCUCCUCCUCGCGGUGCACGCCACGCCGGCGUCGGCCGCCACCAAGUCUUACUUGGUGAUGGCGUGCCAACGGCCGGCCUCUUGGUCCGAUCUGCUCACCCCAGUCACCAGCCAGUUCCGGAUAUUCUACAUCUUCGACGCCAUCAAGGGGAUCGCAUUGCAGAUCGACAGCAUUUUCGUGCCAGCCCUCAAACUGCUCCCAGGGGUGGUCGUGAUCGAAGACAAACUUUACCAGGUUCAAACGACGCACUCAUGGGGUUUCCUCGGCCUCGAGGGGUUAGACGGUGAGCCGAUCAACGUCUGGAAGAACAUUGCCAACUUCGGCCAAGGAGUCAUCAUCGCCAACGUGGACACGGGUGUAUCUCCAAUAUCUGCAAGUUUCAGGGACGACGGCACCUUGCCCAAACCGGAUCGCUGGAGCGGUGGAUGCCAACAAGGCUACUCCGGCUGCAACAACAAGUUGAUCGGCGCCAGGGUUUUCAACGAGGGCAUCAAGUUGCUGAACAAGCAGAGGGGCAAGCAGCUGAACGAGACCGAGGUGAACUCGUCAUCGGACUAUGAGGGGCAUGGCACACACACACUGUCCACGGCUGGCGGCGGCUUGGUGCCUAAUGUCGGCGCCUUGGGCCACGGGACGGGCACGGCCAAGGGUGGUUCGCCUCGGGCGCAUGUGGCCUCGUACAAGGCGUGCUUCAGGGAAGGGUGCUCCGGCGUCGACAUCCUCAAGGCCAUACUUACGGCGGUGGACGACGGCGUGCAUGUGCUCUCGCUCUCCGUCGGCUCCCCCGCCUCCGACUAUGUCACCGACACCAUUGCGAUAGGAACGGCCUAUGCUGUCACCCAGAGGGUCGUCGUCGUCGCAGCAGGUGGCAACGAUGGCCCCGCGGCAGGCUCGAUCAGCAAUGUGGCUCCGUGGAUGCUCACCGUGGGCGCGAGCACCAUGGACAGAAUCUUCCCCGCCGAUGUCGUCAUCGGUACCAAGACUAUCACGGGACAAAGUCUAUCAAGCAGCACCGACCAGCCAUGUGCGAUGAUCAGCGGGGAGAAGGCCAAUGCUGCAGGCCAAUCUGCCGCCAACUCGUCGUUGUGCUUGCCUGGCUCCCUGGACCCUGCCAAGGUGAGCGGAAAGAUAGUCGUGUGCACGAGAGGAGGAGCAAACGGCCGAGUCGCCAAGGGGCAGGUGGUGAAGGACGCCGGCGGCGCGGGGAUGGUCCUCUGCAACGCCGCCGCCAGCGGGGACAACGUCAUCGCCGACCCGCAUAUCAUCCCGGCGGCCCACUGCCCCUACUCCAAGUGCCAGGAGAUCUUGAGCUACAUCCAGUCUACUGGAUCACCAAUGGGUGAGAUCCGAGCGAGGGACGCGGAGCUGGGUGUGAAGCCGUCGCCGGUGAUGGCAGCCUUCUCAUCCCGUGGGCCGAACACCAUCACUCCUCAGAUCCUCAAGCCCGACAUCAUCGCGCCAGGCGUGAGCGUGAUCGCCGCCUACAGCCAGGAGGUCUCGCCGACGGGCCUGGCUUCCGACGGCCGCCGUGUCGCCUACAUGGUAGAGUCCGGCACCUCCAUGUCGUGUCCGCAUGUGGCCGGCAUCGCCGGCCUGCUCAGGUCCAAGUACCCGAAAUGGAACCCAAACAUGAUCUACUCCGCCAUCAUGACCACCGCCACCAGGGUAGCUAAUGACGACACCGGGAUCCGGGACGAGACGGGCGGUGCCGCCACGCCGUUCAGCUACGGCUCGGGCCACGUGAACCCGGUGAGGGCCCUGGACCCGGGCCUUGUGUACGACACCACGACGCACGACUACCUCAACUUCAUCUGCUCCAUGAGGCCCACCGACACCGAGGGCCUCCUCCCUGUCUCCCUCCCGCUCCCGCUCGAGAAACUCUGGACCGUGCUCAACUGCGUGUUCCGCGGCACCGACUCCAACCCGUUUGAGUGCAGCAAGGGCGCCAACCGCCCCGAGGACCUCAACUACCCGUCCAUCUCUGCGCCCUGCCUGCCCUCCUCCGGCAGCUUCACCGUGAAGCGUAGGGUGAGGAACGUCGGCGGCGGGGCGGCGUCGUACACGGUCCGCAUCACGCAGCCGGCCGGGGUGACGGUCACAGUGAACCCCAGCACGCUGAGCUUUGACGGUGAGAAUCCAGAGGAGGAGAAGCAUUUCAAGGUGACGCUUCAAGUCAACAACCCCGUUGUGGCCGCCGACUACGUGUUCGGCGGCAUCGCAUGGUCGGACGGGAAGCAUUACGUCUGGAGCCCCAUUGCGGCCACCACCAAGUGCGAAUAG
rnacentral:rRNA from 1 species